rnacentral:rRNA from 1 species
GACGAACGCUGGCGGCGUGCUUAACACAUGCAAGUCGAACGGUGAUGCUCCAGCUUGCUGGCGUGGAUCAGUGGCGAACGGGUGAGUAACACGUGAGCAACCUGCCCCAGACUCUGGAAUAAGCGCUGGAAACGGCGUCUAAUACUGGAUACGAAACUGGCCCGCAUGGGCAUGGUUUGGAAAGUUUUUCGGUUUGGGAUGGGCUUGCGGCCUAUCAGCUUGUUGGUGAGGUAAUGGCUCACCAAGGCGACGACGGGUAGCCGGCCUGAGAGGGCGACCGGCCACACUGGGACUGAGACACGGCCCAGACUCCUACGGGAGGCAGCAGUGGGGAAUAUUGCACAAUGGGCGAAAGCCUGAUGCAGCGACGCCGCGUGAGGGAUGACGGCCUUCGGGUUGUAAACCUCUUUCAGCAGGGAAGAAGCGAAAGUGACGGUACCUGCAGAAGAAGCACCGGCUAACUACGUG